rnacentral:rRNA from 1 species
AAGCUCGUAGUUGAAUUUCGGGAUCAGUACGCUGGUCGUGCCUUCGGUAUGCACUGGUGUCACUGAUUCCUCCCUUCUGAAGAACCGUAAUGCCAUUCAGUUGGUGUUGCGGGGAAUCAGGACUGUUACUUUGAAAAAAUUAGAGUGUUUAAAGCAGGCUUGCGCUUGAAUACAUUAGCAUGGAAUAAUGAAAUAGGACGUUUGAUCCUAUUUUGUUGGUUUCUAGGAUUGACGUAAUGAUUAAUAGGGAUAGUUGGG